rnacentral:tRNA from 6 species
GGAUGUAGCCAAGUGGAUAAGGCAGU